rnacentral:rRNA from 1 species
CCAGCUCCAAUAGCGUAUAUUAAAGUUGUUGCAGUUAAAAAGCUCGUAGUUGAAUUUUGUCGCUAGCUUUUCGGUCUAGCCUCGCGGUUAGCACUGCUUAGCUAGUGAUUUCCUUCUAGCAAACUACCGUGCUCUUAACUGGGUGUGGUAGGGAGCUAGGACUUUUACUUUGAAAAAAUUAGAGUGUUCAAAGCAGGCAUACGCUUGAAUACUUCAGCAUGGAAUAAUAAAAUAGGACUUUGGUUCUAUUUUGUUGGUUUCUAGGAUCAAAGUAAUGAUUAAUAGGGAUAGUUGGGGGCGUUAGUAUUUCAUUGUCAGAGGUGAAAUUCUUGGAUUUUUGAAAGACUAACUUCUGCGAAAGCAUUCGCCAAGGAUGUUUUCA